AUCCGGAAAAGCUGGUUGCCAAUGGGUUUCAAUGCCCUGGCUGCUUUUCCACCCAUUCGGAUGACUGUGGCAGUAAAGGAAUGGACAGCUGCACACAGAAAGAAGACCACUGUUUCAACCUGGCUGGUUCCAUCAAAAGAAGCAUUUUGAAUGGAAGGAGUGCUUUCCAAGGUUGUACGACAGCCAAGGCAUGCAGCUUCAAAAAUGAAGCAGUAAAGGCAGCAAAUCAAGUUUUUGGAGCCCAGAUUUCCCAGGCAGACUGCAAACCGGCAGAAAAAGUUACUCCCCCC